rnacentral:misc_RNA from 1 species
UACGAGGGGUUGAGGCUU